rnacentral:ncRNA from 2 species
UGAUGUAAGUGUCAGAAUUAUAGGAUAGCGUAAUGUGCUCGCACAAAUAAGCAAUAAUACUUAUAGACACGCCGAACACCGAAAACGAAAUAAAAUGGAGUGAACAUGCCAUUAUAUGGGAGUAAGAGGUGUACGAGGAUAGCGGGAAUUGCAUAGCAAAGGAGCAAUCCGGUAACAUCA